AGUGUGUGUAUGUGUGUGUAUAUAUAUAUAUGUGUGUGUGUAUAUAUAUAUAUGUAUAUAUAUAUAUACAUACACACACACACACACACA